CAUUUUGUCAAGAUAUGAAGCUCCUGUGCAGAUCUUAGAUCUUAGAACAGGAGAUUCUGUUUUAGCAAAGUGGUCAGAUGGAGUCAUUUUUAAAUAUGUUGGAAGCCAAUGAGCCAUCACACUCAACAUCAGGGUCUGACACCAUUACAGUAGAUCGGAACCCACUGUCUGAACAUGAUAGUAUCACAGCGCUGAAUCUAUCAAGUGACGGGGCACUUGUAACAGGCAGCAACACUGUUGGACCACCACCACCCUAUGGGUUUACCAAAGAGGGAACCAUCGGUCCAUCACCCUACAGCGGCAAUACAGCCAUACCAUCACCGUAUGGCCUCCACGUCAAUUGUCAAUUUCUCUAUGGGGGCCAUACAUCUAGCCUACCACCGUAUGGCCUCAACAUCAAAGGUCCAUCUCCCUACGAAGA